rnacentral:rRNA from 1 species
AGAGUUUGAUCCUGGCUCAGAUUGAACGCUGGCGGCAGGCCUAACACAUGCAAGUCGAAUGGUAACAGGAAACAGCUUGCUGUUUCGCUGACGAGUGGCGGACGGGUGAGUAAUGUCUGGGAAACUGCCUGAUGGAGGGGGAUAACUACUGGAAACGGUAGCUAAUACCGCAUAACGUCGCAAGACCAAAGAGGGGGACCUUCGGGCCUCUUGCCAUCAGAUGUGCCCAGAUGGGAUUAGCUAGUAGGUGGGGUAACGGCUCACCUAGGCGACGAUCCCUAGCUGGUCUGAGAGGAUGACCAGCCACACUGGAACUGAGACACGGUCCAGACUCCUACGGGAGGCAGCAGUGGGGAAUAUUGCACAAUGGGCGCAAGCCUGAUGCAGCCAUGCCGCGUGUAUGAAGAAGGCCUUCGGG